UUGCAGAGCAUUCUUGCUAUUUUUGAUUUCUGAGUUCUACACGAAUUCGAUUCAGGAACAUGGCGGAUCGAGACCGAGAUUGGGAUUUUCAUCUCAGAACAUUAUCCAACAUUGCCAGAGAUUCUAAUGUCGCCAACGAUCCCGCCUCCGAUCCUAAUGUUCUUCUAUCAGUUAGAAGGCUAUAUGAAUUGUGCAAAGCUGAGAAUUCUGAGGAUUUGGUGGCUCGGGUUUAUCCUCAGUUUAACAAGAUUUUUCAGCGUUCGGUGUCGUCCUUGUCUCAAUCUAGAACUUCUAAUGGCCUCCUCUUACUGGCCAUUCUUCAAUUUUUCAUUGAUUUUGGUGAAGUAGUCUUACAUGAUGCUGAUUCCAGUCUGAAGACCUUUUUCCGUUCAUGUCUGAGUCGUGAGUUUGCAGAUCCAAUUGUUGCAGAAGCAGUUCUAGAAUUUCUGAAUACAAAUCAGAAUAAGUUUCUUACUUCUUUUCCUACAUUAUUGCCACAGUUCUAUCCAUUGUUGCUAAAGCUGAUUGCUUGGAAUGGAGAAAAGUUAGAGAAACCAUUUCUUAGAAUCUUUCCAGCAUUGAUUUCUCCUGGGUCUUUCCUUCCAAUGUUUCCAUCUGUCAUUGAUUUCCCUAUUUUGGUAGUCGCAUUGGAAAGGGUAGAGCGCAGCUCAGGAUCACUAGUGGGAAAUAACAUAGCUUCAAUCCAGAAGAGUAAAGUUCCUGAGAUGUUACUUGCACUCAUGGAUGAGGCUUACACUGGUUCAACCAUUGGGGAUGGAGGAGGAGACUCUGGAACCGAGGCUAGUAGCACAAUAGAUGUUGCCGAUCCUCUCUUCCUCGAACUUUUGAAGGAUGAAAAUGAUGGUCUUUCGGAACGACAUUGGAAUUCUCCUGGGAUGACUGCAGUAAUUCAGAUUGCAAUAAAUACUGCUCAAUCUGAUAGGCUGAAACAAAUGCUGAACGUGACACCUCGGAUUCUUGAUGUCUACUUCUCUGUGGCACUGCAAGAUGUCAACAAUUCUUUAAUCUGUGCAUUGAUUCCUCUGCUUAUGUCAAGAAACUCAACAUUGUUACCUGACAAAGCUUUCUCCUAUAAGGUUCGUAAGAGGCUCCUAGAAUUUAUGCUUGCUGCAUUUCAGCGGUCUCCGGAUUUCAUUGCACUUCUCAAGAAGCCUAUAAUCAAUCGACUUGGUGAAGCAUAUGACAACCCUGCAAAGACAGAACUAGCACUGAAAUUGUGUUGGGCCAUUGGAGAACACGGUGGCGGUGGCAGAUCUCACAAAGAUGCAGCCCGUGAACUUUUCGAGAGCUUAGAGUUGCUUUUAUACGAAAAUCUUUUAUCGAGUCGUUUAGGUUUGAGACAGGACUCGGGUGAUAAUUCCAGUGGUGAAAGCUUCAGAAAGUCAUCGCAGUCAAGGCUUCUUUGUUUUGUUAUUACUGCAAUUGCAAAACUUGCAACAUACCACCGUGAAUUACUACCGAGAGCACGGGUCUCAUUGGGAAAGGUAGCUCGAUCUCGAACCUCAGAUGCGAGAGUCUGGACUCGAGCUCACGACUAUCUAGGACUAUUGAGUGACACUGGAAUUUCGUUAUCCAUUUUGGGGCCUUCGAAACCUGCCAGUAAAGAAGCACAUAACCCAGGCACUGUCAACUGGAGUCAAGGUGGAACUAAGAUGGUUGCGCACAUUCCAUUUUACAUUCUCCACGAACAAGGUCCUCCUUUCCAUGAUUUCUCAUUUUCAGAUAUUCUUCCAAGGAGAUGAUGAACAUGAACUCAUCCAGCUUUGCUCGUCUCAAUGUCGUCAACGUUGCCGUUGAGAAAUUGAGGUUAUCUGGAAGGACAACAAAACCAGAAGACAAGAUAGCCACAUUAUCUGGGUUUCCUCCACGUAAGAGUAUCGACAUGGCAAAGAGAUCAACAGGUGCAUAGACUAUAUAAGAUCCCGUUGCGUCGAAGUAACUCUCUUGCAGGUAGAAGAUCUCGACUUUUCUCGGCGAAGACUACAAAUAUGGUAACUUUUCAAGUUAAAUUUUGAAGAGUUAAAGUGUUGCUGUGUAGGAAAAAAAAAAAA